rnacentral:rRNA from 1 species
GAGACAGCAGCCGCCGCGGUAAUACAGAGGGUGCGAGCGUUAAUCGGAUUUACUGGGCGUAAAGCGUGCGUAGGCGGCUUCUUAAGUCGGAUGUGAAAUCCCUGAGCUUAACUUAUGAAUUGCAUUCGAUACUGGGAAGCUAGAGUAUGGGAGAGGAUGGUAGAAUUCCAGGUGUAGCGGUGAAAUGCGUAGAGAUCUGGAGGAAUACCGAUGGCGAAGGCAGCCAUCUGGCCUAAUACUGACGCUGAGGUACGAAAGCAUGGGGAGCAAACAGGAUUAGAUACCCGCGUAGUCCCUGUCUCUUAUAC